CAUCCCUCCUCUGAAGAAGCCCCAGUGGGCAGAACUCAUCACCAUGGACUGGACUUGGAGGAUCUUCUUCUUGGUGGCAGCAGCUACAGGUGUCCAGUCCCAGGUGCAGCUGGUGCAGUCUGGGGCAGAGGUGAAGAAGCCUGGGGCCUCCGUGAAGGUCUCCUGCAAGGCUUCUGGAUACACCUUCACCAACCACUACAUGCACUGGGUGCGACAGGCCCCUGGAAAAGGGCUUGAGUGGAUGGGAUGGGAUCUACCCUGGUAAUGGUAACACAAAGUUACGUGCAGAAUUUCCAGGGCAGAGUCACCAUGACUGCGGACAAGUCCACGAGCACAGCCUACAUGGAGCUGAGCAGCCUGAGAUCUGAGGACACGGCCGUGUAUUACUGUGCGAGAGACACAGUGUUAAACCACAUCCUGAGAGUGUCAGAAACCCCAAGACUGAGCACAGACACUGAGACGUUGAGCACCACCUGCGGAGGUCUGUCCUGCAGACCCAGACAGCGAUGGGUGAAUGAAAUACACUCUUACACCCAGGACAGUGAUUUCAGUGGGCUAUGGAUGCUUGUCUGCUGCUUUCAGAAGGUGGAUCUCUGCUCCUCAGAGGUGGCCUUGGUCUUCAAGUUUCAGCAACUCUGGGAAACCAAUGACAGCUCCAUCUUUUACUCCCUGCUCUGCAUCUGA